rnacentral:ncRNA from 1 species
AAAACAGGGGCGCCGUAAGGCUGAGAUUUGCGAGAGCGAAGUACCCUUAACCUGAUCCGGGUAAUGCCGGCGGAGGGAGUU